rnacentral:rRNA from 1 species
AUUGAACGCUGGCGGCAGGCCUAACACAUGCAAGUCGAACGAGUGGCGGACGGGUGCGUAAUGUCUGGGAAACUGCCUGAUGGAGGGGGAUAACUACUGGAAACGGUAGCUAAUACCGCAUACCAUCAGAUGUGCCCAGAUGGGAUUAGCUAGUUGGUGGGGUAACGGCUCACCAAGGAGACGAUCCCUAGCUGGUCUGAGAGGAUGACCGGCCACACGGGAACUUAGACGCGUUCCAGACUCCUACGGGAGGCCGCAUUGGGGAAUAUUGCACAAUGGGCGCAAGCCUGAUGCAGCCAUGCCGCGUGUAUGAAGUAGGCCUUCGGGUUGUAAAGUACUUUCAGCGGGGAGGCGUUACCCGCAGAAGAAGCACCGGCUAACUCCGUGCCAGCCGCCGCGGUAAUUC